rnacentral:rRNA from 1 species
AAUCAACGCUGGCGGCGUGCCUCAGACAUGCAAGUCGAACGCGAAAGUCCCCCUCGGGGGACAAGUAGAGUGGCGCACGGGUGAGUAACACGUAGGUAAUCUACCUUCGGGUGGGGAAUAACAAUCGGAAACGGUUGCUAAUACCGCAUAAUGCAGCGGCACCUAAUGGUGACAGUUGUUAAAGCGGGGGAGUCGCAAGAUCUCGCGCCUGAAGAGGAGCCUGCGGCGGAUUAGCUAGUUGGUAGGGUAAUGGCCUACCAAGGCGACGAUCCGUAGCCGGCCUGAGAGGGCGGUCGGCCACACUGACACUGACA